CCCCCCCGCCCCCCCCCCCCCACAUUCAGCCAAUCACAUCUGCAGGACCUCGUAGCAAACUUGUCGGGGUCUCUAGGUAAAACAAGAGUCCAACCGAGCCGCCUUAGGUACUCAAAUGACACCCGAGGUCCGUAGCAGAUGGAUGGAAUGAGAAAGGACCUGCGAGCUCCCGGCGGAAUUCGCUGGCAGCUGUAGGAGGCUCUGGUGUUUUGGUUUCUUUGACAUUUUCCCUGCUUCAAAGCUGAGAGCGGGAGUCAGGGAUUGGGCGAACUUCAACGUGUUCGGUUACAAGAAGGAAUUAUGAGACUAGAACAGUACAUCCAGAAGACCCAGCAAAGCAUACCACGCCACGGACAUGCAAAUGGGUAAAAUUAAAACGGAUGCCAGAAACGAUAAUAGAUUUUAAACAUGAUGCAGUUUCAUUUCCUGAACCCUUAUAUAGUGCCUUAACUGUUCCCCAGGUACUGUAUCUCCACAUCCAGAAACCUAACAUGAGGAUCUGUACUUAACAGCUCACCUAGGACCAAGAAGCCUUCAGUAAGAGAUUUGUGAAACCCAUUCUGGAGUAAGGGGUCCCCUGCUGCUGGCUGCUCCACAGUGUUUGAAAAUCAGGGGCUGGAAUAGCCCAGAGUCCAGGAGCCCCAAGGCAUGUAGCUCCUGGCUUGUACUUACAUCAUUCUUAACCCUUCCGCACCUGGAAGGGGCUCAACGGGAUCAGGAUGCCCCCGAGCUCCGGAACACGCAGGACCUAGGUGUAAGAGAAGAGCCUCAGGGUUCCGUGUGAGCGCUGAGCCCCAGGAGAGAAAGACUGCGGAUAGCGCAGGAGGUUCAUAACCCGCGCUUACAGCCGGGGCCCCUUGAUCCCUACAGACUCCAGUGCGGCUAGCCUCUGGCUCGCAAGGCUAGAAGCAGCAGGUGCAAAAAGCAUUUGGGAGCCGCUUGCCAGUGCUUGGAGGUAAUGCGCUUCCUGUCCAUUUAUCUCAGGAAACCAGCGCAGCCUUCCCUUCGAAACAAAAUUAACCUCUCAUUAGCCAGCCACUCACUCCCAAGAAGGCCUUAAAAGCUUUACCCUCUCGCUAAUGUAUUUAGGCUCUUCUUCCAGGCAAACGAAGCCGAGGCUGUGACUAACAUCAGCCCCAGGGGUUCCAAUGGGCUCCCUCAGGAGCCAGCCGCUAGCCUUUCACCAGCCUAGCCUGGGAAACUGGCCAACCCCGGACACCAGUUUGUAGAAACAGGGCGACCCGACACCCCUGAACGAACUUCACACCCCCCAAAACCCCAGGACAAGUUUCCUCUCUUUUCUUGGGCCCCUUUCUCAUCAACCCCCAGCUCCAUUGCUCUCAAGGGAUAGGGAAGGGAAGCUGUGGAAACUUCAGUGGCCAGCUGUCCCCGGGUCAUGGGCGACGACUGUCCCUAGGGAAGCGUCCUUGGAAAGCUGGGGGUCGGGGACAGCCUUCGUUAAACUGUAGUCAGUUCCAGGCAUUGCGAAUUAAACGUGGCCAGGAGCUUUUGGAACGCUGGGGCUUCCUCACCCUGGGCCCCACCGCCCCGAUCCUGGCAGAUUUAUACCACACAGGUGGACGGAGACCUAAACAAAACAGUCCCAGCCACUGCCUGCCGCUCGCCCCCCACGUCCUCCUGGCCCACCGCAAACUUCAACAAAAUAAACAACUCACCACAGGCA